GGACUACUGGGGUUUCUAAUCCCGUUCGCUCCCCUAGCUUUCGCGCCUCAGCGUCAGAAGAGGUCCAGCACGUCGCUUUCGCCACCGGCGUUCCUUCCGAUAUCAACGCAUUUCACCGCUCCACCGGAAGUUCCACAUGCCCCUACCUCCCUCGAGACAGCCAGUUUCAAAGGCAAUUUUCCGGUUGAGCCGAAAGAUUUCACCCCUGACUUGGCCGCCCGCCUACGCGCCCUUUAAGCCCAGUGAUUCCGAACAACGUUUGCACGGUUCGUCUUACCGCGGCUGCUGGCAC
rnacentral:rRNA from 3 species